UGCGUCCGUGGCGAAACUGGGAUACGCGCCGGACUCAGACUCCGGCGCCCUGAUGGGCAUGUAGGUUCGACUUCUGCCGGGGCAGC
rnacentral:tRNA from 5 species